rnacentral:rRNA from 1 species
UACGUAGGGUGCGAGCGUUGUCCGGAAUUAUUGGGCGUAAAGAGCUGUAGGCGGUUUGUCGCGUCUGCUGUGAAAAUCCGGGGCUCAACCCCGGACUUGCAGUGGGUACGGGCAGACUAGAGUGUGGUAGGGGAGACUGGAAAUUCCUGGUGUAGCGGUGAAAUGCGCAGAUAUCAGGAGGACACCGAUGGCGAAGGCAGGUCUCUGGGCCACUACUGACGCUGAGAAGCGAAAGCAUGGGGAGCGAACAGGAUAG